rnacentral:rRNA from 1 species
GAUGAACGCUGGCGGCGUGCCUAAUACAUGCAAGUCGAGCGAACAGACGAGAAGCUUGCUUCUCUGAUGUUAGCGGCGGACGGGUGAGUAACACGUGGAUAACCUACCUAUAAGACUGGGAUAACUUCGGGAAACCGGAGCUAAUACCGGAUAAUAUUUUGAACCGCAUGGUUCAAUAGUGAAAGACGGUCUUGCUGUCACUUAUAGAUGGAUCCGCGCUGCAUUAGCUAGUUGGUAAGGUAACGGCUUACCAAGGCAACGAUGCAUAGCCGACCUGAGAGGGUGAUCGGCCACACUGGAACUGAGACACGGUCCAGACUCCUACGGGAGGCAGCAGUAGGGAAUCUUCCGCAAUGGGCGAAAGCCUGACGGAGCAACGCCGCGUGAGUGAUGAAGGUCUUCGGAUCGUAAAACUCUGUUAUUAGGGAAGAACAAAUGUGUAAGUAACUGUGCACGUCUUGACGGUACCUAAUCAGAAAGCCACGGCUAACUACGUG